AGCCCUAGAUUCCAGAGACGAGGAGGACCUUCCCACCCGUUCACUUCAGGAAGACCAUGAACCUUCCCCCUUGCAUCGCCAUUGGCUGAAUCAGGUCGGCUCUGCUGGCUGCAGACUCGUUCUCCGUUUAUCAAAGGCUGUAGCAGGUGCAUUAAAACGUAUCAGCCCAGCCCCAGGCAGAUGGAGGCGACACGGAGAGCUUGGAAUCGAAAGGAGCUGCUGAUCACCGUGACCCCAAGAUACACCUGCUUUCUCUUUGUUAAGGAAUUAGACACGAUACUUUCAUCUUUAAAAACAGAUCAAAGAAAGAAAGAAGGGAAGGAAAGGAAGGAAGGAAGGAAGGAAGGAAGGAAGAAAAUGCCUGCAAAUCCUUGGUCGUACAUACUUUCUGGACUUGUUUCUGUGAGGCCGUGAGGCCGUGAGCCAGGCCACAGAGCAGAGAGAUCCCGUUUGUGGGUGAGGUCAAUGCGGAGGAAAGCAGCCAAGAACUGGAGAGAAAUGGAAUCUUGUGGACAUUAUGAGGACUCUUGGAUCCAGCCAUGCCUGAAGCCGUUACCCCUGGAGCAGGUUUUCUCAACCUUGCUACCAUUGUCAGUUCUGGAAUAGAUCUUUCUUUGCUGCGGGGGACUGUCCUGUACCUUGUAGGACAUUUAACAACAUCCUUAGCCUCUGCCCACCAGAUAGCACGCUGCACACCC